CAGUAGUCAUUAAAGACGCGUGCACUGUGCUCUGCCUCGCCUACUUCCUGGUGGAUGUGAUGAGGCAGCGUCUCUCAGUGUUGUCGUAGUGAGCAGAGAGCAGAGAGCAGAGCAGAGAGAGGGCAGCUGAAGUGAAGGAGGUUGAUGUGUUUGAUGGUCUGCAGUUAGUUAGUUAGUUUUCUUUUUUGUCUCCUUUGAUGAAACGAUGGGCAGCACGGUGAUGGAGUCCAGCGAGGACAGCUCCAAGAAGACGCCGAGGAAGAGGAGAAGUCUGCGGAUUAACAUGCCAGACUUUGGUGCGUUUACUUCCCCACAAGUGGAGACGAGUGGCUCAACCAAAAGUGGCGCUCAGACGGGGGAGCGUCGCAUCCGUUCAGCCAGCCCCACCAAAGGAGUGUUGAUGAGGAGCCCGCCCAUCGCCCCUCUGCCCACACACCCUCAGUCUGCUCCGGUGGCAUUGAGGACCAUCUCAGGUUCCCCCAAAUCUAUCUUCCCCUAUCCCUCCUAUCAGGACUCUCCACCCAAGUCCCCCCGCCGCCUGAGCCUGAGUGGUAUCUUCCGCUCCUCAUCCAGCUCCACACCUGCAGGCAUCAAAAUCUUCUCCAGGACCAGGAGAGCCUCUGGACUCUCCACACCACCCAGCACCCCGACCCAGGCGUCCAGCCAGCCUGUGUUCACCCAGGAGGCCCAACCGAGCGGACCCAGCCCUGAACGCCUGGAAGCGAUCACCCGAUCCCGUUCGAUCUCCACACCUCCAGACACAGGACAUCGCCUCAGCCUUCCCUCUGCCAAACCCCCGAUCCCUUCCUCGAGCCCUGUGCCAUCUUACUCUACCUCGCAACAAGUCUACGGUUUAUUCGAAGGCAUGCUGGAGAAACUUGAACUAGAUGAUGAUGCUGCUGAACCUGAGAGUGAUAUUUACAUGCGCUUCAUGAAAUCCCACAAGUGCUACGACAUCGUCCCCACGAGCUCCAAGCUGGUCGUGUUCGACACGGCGCUCCAAGUUAAGAAAGCGUUCUUCGCCUUGGUGGCCAACGGUGUGCGAGCUGCUCCACUAUGGGACACAGAGAAGCAAAGCUUUGUGGGAAUGCUGACAAUCACAGAUUUCAUCAUCAUACUACACAGAUACUAUAAGUCGCCGAUGGUGCAAAUAUAUGAAUUAGAGGAACAUAAGCUUGAGACGUGGAGAGAGGUUUACCUUCAAGCAACGUUCAAACCUCUGGUCAACAUAUCACCUGAUGCAAGCCUAUUUGACGCCGUGUACACCCUCAUCAAAAACAAAAUUCACCGCCUGCCUGUCAUCGACCCCGUCACAGGGAACGCACUUUAUAUUCUCACACACAAGAGGAUCCUCAAGUUCCUCCAGCUUUUUAUGUGUGAGAUGCCGAAGCCAGCCUUCAUGAAGCAGACUCUCGGGGAGCUGGGUAUUGGCUCGUACCACGACAUCGCUUUCAUCCACCCGAACACGCCCAUCAUCAAAGCACUCAACAUUUUUGUGGAGAGACGAGUUUCUGCCCUGCCUGUGGUGGAUGAGUCGGGCAAAGUUGUGGACAUUUACUCCAAGUUUGACGUGAUUAACUUGGCUGCUGAGAAGACGUACAACAACCUGGACAUUACAGUGACGCAGGCUCUCAAACAUCGCUCCCAGUACUUCGAAGGGGUCAUGAAGUGCCAUAAAAUGGAAACAAUGGAGACCAUUGUGGACAGAAUAGUCAAAGCUGAAGUGCAUCGGUUGGUGGUGGUGGACGAGCGCUCCAGCAUCGAGGGCAUCGUCUCCCUGUCAGACAUCCUCCAGGCUCUGGUACUCAGCCCUGCAGGUAUAGAUGCUAAGGAUUGGUAGCCCCAACUCCCCCCUUCUUAUCCUGGACCCUCAGCUCUGUCCCCCACCCCGCCCUCUAACCCUGUCCCAGAUAUCUGUAAGGAGGAGAACCUGGCUGAGUGAGAGGGAGGAAGCAUCAGCUGGAGUGGAGACGUGGUGGGAGUAAAUGCGUUUGGUGGUUGAGGUGAGGGAGCGCGAGGCUGAGCAGAGCCAGACCCAAUGUCCCAGAGACGCCUGCAACUGAUGCACUAUAGGGGCUUGGAAACCAAAGAGCUAGACAGCUGAAUGAAGUGGAGUUCCUGCACUGAGGAUUGACUUUCUGGGUGUUUUCUUUUUUGUUUAGUUUGUUUGAACACUGAUCAGAUGCACACACACACAGUAUACUGUAUUUAUACACACACACACACACACACACAUACACAGACAUGCAUUAUGGUCACCUGCCGGGUGAAAGGUGGGACUGGUUCUGAUGAAUUAGGGCUUCAGUGUUUUGGGUUGUGUAGUUGCGAUCAUGCUGCUGUCAUCAGUUGAUUUUUAGUAGCGUUUUGUUGUCGAUACUGAACGUCAUCACCUCCUGGAGUUUUUGGUGAGAAAGGUGAACAUUCACAGAUGCAACUUAUUGUUUGGAGGCAAAACAAUUCACCUACAAUGUGGCCGUUUUAUGACUGUUGUCGUUUAAAAAGAUAUUUGCCAGUGCCAAGGUGUAGGGAUUGAUGCCCAAUCUUUAUUUGUGCCUUUUGUUGCCCUGACCACACCACUUUAAAACUGACAGUAUUUGUGUCCUUUGACUUUUUACUGUCAAAUGAGUGCAAUUAUUAGUUUUUUUUUAAAGAUAUGAAUGUUUGAUCCUUCUACAUCUAAUUCAAAAAUGUUUUUUUCCCUUUAUUUGGUUGCAUUUUCUGUGAUUUUAAACCAUAUCAGAAAUGUCAAGAAUUUCUGUUAAAUAGAUCUAAUUCUAAAAGAAUAUACUCUAAAUAAAAUCAAUCAUUUUGGCACAAAAACACGCAGUGGUCAGAGGCAAAUAAGCUAUACAUCAAUAUGGAUUAUAUCAGCCAAGAACUGAGUGAACACUUCUCACUCAUUUUACAUCAGUUGUCAUUUAUUGCGACUUAACGAUGCAAGACCGGAAAAUGUCUUUUUAGAUGUUUAAAAAAACAUAUUUUUUACAUUUACUUUCAGUUGUUUUGUGUCGCUUCAGAUCAUCUGCAAACAUGCAAAACAACUCGGUUAUCUCAGCUGUAGCUCAACAGGACUCAUCUCCAUCUUUGACUGUAAAUAGGAUCGUUUUCGGGAAACGUGUCACAUAAAGCUUUAUUUUUAUGAAUGUGUCAACAUGUGUAAAGAGACUGCAGUUUUAAUGUUAUUUUUGUAAAUAUAUUGUGGCAAUAUGUCCGGUUCAGAGAGACUUUGUAUCAGAUCAAAAUGUACUGUAAACGUGCAAGCAUGAGAAACUACACUUCAGCAGUAUGAAUGUCCUUUGUUUUACUUUUUCUAUUUUUCUGGCUGCAGAAAAAUAAAUGGACACUGAAUGUACUUUAAA